GAUGAACGCUGGCGGCGUGCCUAAUACAUGCAAGUCGAGCGAACAGACGAGGAGCUUGCUCCUCUGACGUUAGCGGCGGACGGGUGAGUAACACGUGGAUAACCUACCUAUAAGACUGGGAUAACUUCGGGAAACCGGAGCUAAUACCGGAUAAUAUAUUGAACCGCAUGGUUCAAUAGUGAAAGACGGUUUUGCUGUCACUUAUAGAUGGAUCCGCGCCGCAUUAGCUAGUUGGUAAGGUAACGGCUUACCAAGGCAACGAUGCGUAGCCGACCUGAGAGGGUGUUCGGCCACACUGGAACUGAGACACGGUCCAGACUCCUACGGGAGGCAGCAGUAGGGAAUCUUCCGCAAUGGGCGAAAGCCUGACGGAGAAACGCCGCGUGAGUGAUGAAGGUCUUCGGAUCGUAAAACUCUGUUAUUAGGGAAGAACAAAUGUGUAAGUAACUAUGCACGUCUUGACGGUACCUAAUCAGAAAGCCACGGCUAACUACGUG
rnacentral:rRNA from 1 species